rnacentral:rRNA from 1 species
UACGAGGGGGGCAAGCGUUGUUCGGAAUUAUUGGGCGUAAAGGGCGCGUAGGCGGUGCGGUAAGUCUGAUGUGAAAUCUCCGGGCUCAACUCGGAGUCUGCAUCAGAAACUGCCGUGCUCGAGUGUGGGAGAGGUGAGUGGAAUUCCCGGUGUAGCGGUGAAAUGCGCAGAUAUCAGGAGGAACACCGGUGGCGAAGGCGGGUCUCUGGGCCGAUACUGACGCUGAGGAGCGAAAGCGUGGGGAGCGAACAGG